CCCUUAGAUGUCCUGGGCCGCACGCGUGCUACACUGACGCAUACAGCGAGCACUUUCCAGUUCCGAGAGGCUACUGGUAAUCAUCAAUAUGCGUCGUGAUGGGGAUAGAUCUUUGGAAUUCUGGAUCUUGAACGAGGAAUGCCUAGUAAUCGCAGGUCAUUAGCCUGCGAUGAUUAAGUCCCUGCCCUUUGUACACACCGCCCGUCGCUACUACCGAUUUCGAGUGGUCAGGUGAAUCUUUCGGACUGUGGGCGCCCUUGAGGUGUUCGCGGAAAGUCGGGUAAAUCUUAUCACUUAGAGGAAGUAAAAGUCGUAACA
rnacentral:rRNA from 1 species